rnacentral:lncRNA from 1 species
GUACUAUUGAACACUAGAUCUGCUCAAACAUACAUGGAAAAUUAUGUAAAGGGAGCAAGGGACUAAGUUUCAAAGAAAGUGCUAUAGUGCUAAUAACAUCAUCUCCAAAUGGCACUUUCCCCCGUUGGGUCCAAACCUAUCGUACCUUCAUCACCACCAUCUCCUCAUACAAAAUUUUCCCUCAAACUUCCUUUUAACCCCUCUCCUUCCCCAAUCCAACCUCGACCACUUUCUCCUCUAUCUCUCUUUCCCCUAAUAUGUUUCCAACCUCCUCCUCCUUUCUCUCUUUCCCUUGCACAUGCUUUCAAUCCUCGCUCAAAACCUUCCCUUUCCUCACCAUCCUUGAAGCCUUUUCUCUCUCUCAGCCUCCCCUUUCUUUCAUCCACCAUCUUCCACCACUUCGCCAUCAUCCUUUCUCCUCUCCUUCUUUCCCCUAGCUAGUGCCACCACCUUCUCUUUCUUCAGCUAUUCCAUGAUGGCUUUCUUCCCCUCCCUUUUCAAUGUUUAUCAAAUAGGGUAAGAGAUUGCUAAGCCAGAUAGAUAUUACAUGGG